UACGUAGGGUGCAAGCGUUAAUCGGAAUUACUGGGCGUAAAGCGCGUGUAGGCGGCUUGGUAAGUCUGCUCUGAAAGCCCGGGGCUCAACCCCGGGAGGCGGGUGGAUACUGUCAAGCUCGAGUCCGGAAGAGGAGUGUGGAAUUCCUGGUGUAGCGGUGAAAUGCGCAGAUAUCAGGAGGAACACCGGUGGCGAAGGCGGGUCUCUGGGCCGAUACUGACGUGAGGAGCGAAAGCGUGGGGAGCGAACAGG
rnacentral:rRNA from 1 species